rnacentral:rRNA from 1 species
AUUGAACGCUGGCGGCAUGCCUUACACAUGCAAGUCGAACGGCAGCACGGGGCAACCUGGUGGCGAGUGGCGAACGGGUGAGUAAAGUAUCGGAACGUACCAUUCAGUGGGGGAUAACGUAGCGAAAGUUACGCUAAUACCGCAUAUUCUCUCCGGAGGAAAGCAGGGGAUCGCAAGACCUUGCGCUGAUUGAGCGGCCGAUAUCAGAUUAGCUAGUUGGUGAGGUAAAGGCUCACCAAGGCGACGAUCUGUAGCGGGUCUGAGAGGAUGAUCCGCCACACUGGAACUGAGACACGGUCCAGACUCCUACGGGAGGCAGCAGUGGGGAAUUUUGGACAAUGGGGGCAACCCUGAUCCAGCCAUGCCGCGUGAGUGAAGAAGGCCUUCGGGUUGUAAAGCUCUUUCGGCCGGGAAGAAAUCGCACGGGCUAAUACCCUGUGUGGAUGACGGUACCGGAAUAAGAAGCACCGGCUAACUACGUGCCAGCCGCCGCCGUAACAC